rnacentral:rRNA from 1 species
AUUGAACGCUGGCGGCAUGCCUUACACAUGCAAGUCGAACGGCAGCACGGGGCAACCUGGUGGCGAGUGGCGAACGGGUGAGUAAUGCAUCGGAACGUACCUUUCAGUGGGGGAUAACGUAGCGAAAAUUACGCUAAUACCGCAUAUUCUGUGAGCAAGAAAGCAGGGGAUCGCAAGACCUUGCGCUGAUUGAGCGGCCGAUGUCAGAUUAGCUAGUUGGUGAGGUAAAGGCUUACCAAGGCGACGAUCUGUAGCGGGUCUGAGAGGAUGAUCCGCCACACUGGAACUGAGACACGGUCCAGACUCCUACGGGAGGCAGCAGUGGGGAAUUUUGGACAAUGGGGGCAACCCUGAUCCAGCCAUGCCGCGUGAGUGAAGAAGGCCUUCGGGUUGUAAAGCUCUUUCGGCCGGGAAGAAAUCGCACGGGCUAAUACCCUGUGUGGAUGACGGUACCGGAAUAAGAAGCACCGGCUAACUACGUGCCAGCCGCCGCGGUAACAC